GCCUUCGUGGAUGAGUUGCCACAUUGUUCAUUUCCUGCGCAUACUAAGUUCUGGCCUUCAAAUGGUAGUCGGAGGUUCGAAUCCUCAUGAGGGCA